rnacentral:rRNA from 1 species
GACAGAGGGUGCAAACGUUGUUCGGAAUACUGGGCGUAAAGCGCAUGUAGGCGGCCCGGCAGGUCGGAUGUGAAAUCCCUCGGCUCAACCAAGGAAGUGCAUUCGAAACCGCCAGGCUCGAGUCCCGGAGAGGAUGGUGGAAUUCUCGGUGUAGAGGUGAAAUUCGUAGAUAUCGAGAGGAACACCGGCGGCGAAGGCGGCCAUCUGGACGAGGACUGACGCUGAGAUGCGAAAGCGUGGGGAGCAACAGG